GAUGAACGCUGGCGGCGUGCCUAAUACAUGCAAGUCGAACGCUGGAGACCUAGCUUGCUAGAUCGAAGGAGUGGCGAACGGGUGAGUAAUACAUAAGCAACCUACCCACGAAGACUGGGAUAAUCUCUGGAAACGGGGACUAAUACCGGAUAGGUAAUCGGAAGGCAUCUUCUGGUUAUUAAAGGUUAAAAACACUGGUGGAUGGGCUGAUGGCGCAUUAGUUAGUUGGUGAGGUAACGGCCCACCAAGACGAUGAUGCGUAGCCGGCCUGAGAGGGUGAGCGGCCACAGUGGGACUGAGACACGGCCCAGACUCCUACGGGAGGCAGCAGUAGGGAAUGUUCGGCAAUGGGGGCAACCCUGACCGGGCAACGCCGCGUGAGUGAAGACGGCCUUCGGGGUGUAAAGCUCUGUUGUAAGGGAAGAACGGUAGAUAGAGAAUAUCUAAGUGACGGUACCUUACCAGAAAGCCACGGCUAACUACGUG
rnacentral:rRNA from 1 species